rnacentral:lncRNA from 1 species
UUAUGUUUCAACUGCGAAGUAAUAUGUUGAGGGAUUUCUAUUUCCACUUAUUCCCUCAGGUGAGAAAACUCAUGAAAGACUUCAUGGAGGAGAACCUAGAUCCUCAGUCCCAAAAGGGCAGAGAAAAGCAUGAGGUUUUUCUCUCAGACCCACUGAAAGCAGGAAUUAUUAUCCUGAUUGUGUACAACAAGUACCGAUUAAAAGAGGACAACGGAAGUCAACUCUCUCAUCUUUGUCAGCUGCUAUGCCUGCCAAAAAAGCCAAGAGACGAUUUCCUUGCUUACUGGACAGACUUCACCCAAGGCCUACCCAAGCAUAUUAGUGUUGCAGAGGAAGUUAAGUCGCUAUGCAACGUUGCAAGAGAGGGGAGUGUUGUGAGCUGGAUCUUGGUCAUCCCUCUCCUGCAUCUGCUUCGAGGGGACAGCAAGCCCUUUGAGCCCGUUCCACCCACCAUGGAUCCACCGUUUGCCACCUGGGCAGGGCUUAAAGAGAUCCGAACAAAAGACUCCUACAGAGACACAAGGUAUGAAUCUGUGAAAUGUCGACUGAGAUUGGUUCCAAAGCUGGAGUUUAAAUGGAACUUAAAACUACAACAGUUUUUUGAUAAGCUGCAUUUCAAACUUGUAUCAGAAAACCAUUUCCUUCCCACUGUAGAAUAUUUUAUUGGUCAUGUUUAAUAUCUUAAUGAGACUCUUGACUGUGAAUCCAGGGGCCUGAUGAAGGUCAUGACAGAACACAAACACCUGGUGGAGGUGGAUCAUCUACUUGUGCGCUCCUGGAUGUGUCUGCUACAGUUGGAAAACUUGAUGAGCUUUAUAUCAGCCAUCCAUGUGGGUGUCUUGGACACUCUUCAGCAACUCCAGUUCAGUCUCAAGUCUGUAACGUCUUACUACACCUAUGGGGUAUGUGUCCUUGGUUGAAAAGUUAUUUCUUGCAACAGUGAGGCAAAAUUAUGAUGUUAUGGACUGAGAUUGAAUUCUGGAUGCAGUCCAUAACUUUGUGAGUUCAUAGUCUGCUUUGAUUGAGAAUUGCAGCAUGUAAUCAUAUCAAGGUAGUACAAUGUCCAGGAUUUAGUGGCGAUAUACUGUACUAAACAACGAUAUGUCAUUUAUCUAGCAACCAGUGAAAGCGAUUUUGUCAUAUCUUAUUGAAAUUACUGGACAACACUUCAGGUAUGAUAAAUAUGUAUACAUGAUAUUUUUACUAUGUUAUAUCUAGAGAAAAUAUCCAACAAUUAAAAGUGACAUUCCUUUAAAAUAUUGUAUUAUAAAUAAUUUGAGCUUCAUGCAGUUACAGAACAUCCUGUAGUGUUCCUUGACCCUCAAGUUAUUUGUUGUUGUUGUUAUCAGUGAUAACAGAUAUGGAGAAUGUUGCUUGAAAACAGCUGUGAGUGUUCUGGGGACAAUCUGUAAAGAUACUGCUGAUUCAGACCGCUGUGAGCUUCCACUGGACUGCCUGCAUCUGGUCAGUCUGAUUGCAGAAACUGCCGGAAGCUCUCAUCCACAGGUACGCCAUAUGUGAAGGGAAAGUAUUUUGUAUUUUGUAUUGGUCACAUACACGUGUUUAGCAGAUGUUAUUGCGGGUGUAGCUAAAUGCUUGUGCUUAU